UACUGUAGGGGGACCUCGAGGACCACAAACACUCCCCGUUACACAAUGUGGAGCCAACAGGACUGAACAUAUGACACUCCCACCUACAACUUUAUAGAUCUCUAACUACACUGACAGUUACAUUACACCUGCUGCAGUCUCUGAAUGACAUGGACAUCAUCAAACAUGGUCUCCUGAGCUUUUUAAUACUUCUGCUCUGGAUAAAAGGUCUAACUGCUGGUGAUGAUGUCACCCAGACUGACAUACUGUGGAAAGACGAGGGUGAUAAUGCAACAAUGAGCUGCAGCCACACCAAGGGUGGCAGCUACUUCCAGAUGUACUGGUACAGACAGCGGCCAGGAGAAACAAUGAAACUAAUUGUUUUCACAACAGCGGGCAACGAAAAUCACGAUUUUGGAGAUUUCAGCAAAGAUAGAUUUGCAGCCACUAAGCCUGAUGCUGAGAGUGGGACAUUCACAGUGAAGGAUCUGCAGCCAGAAGAUAAAGGCUUGUAUUUCUGUGCUGUGAGUCAACACAGUGAUACAGACUCAUUCAAUAGCUGUACAAAAACCUCAGUGCUCUGUUGGUACACCUCUAUCCCUCCAUCUCAUGUACUGUAGGGGGACCUCAAGGACCACAAACACUCCCCGUUACACAAUGUGGAGCCAACAGGACUGAACAUAUGACACUCCCACCUACAACUUUAUAGAUCUCUAACUACCCUGACAGUUACAUUACACCUGCUGCAGUCUCUGAAUGACAUGGACA